rnacentral:rRNA from 1 species
GCACGGUGGAUGCCUUGGCACUAGAAGCCGAUGAAGGACGUUACUAACGACGAUAUGCUUUGGGGAGCUGUAAGUAAGCUUUGAUCCAGAGAUUUCCGAAUGGGGAAACCCAGCAUGAGUUAUGUCAUGUUAUCGAUAUGUGAAUACAUAGCAUAUCAGAAGGCACACCCGGAGAACUGAAACAUCUUAGUACCCGGAGGAAGAGAAAGAAAAUUCGAUUCCCUUAGUAGCGGCGAGCGAAACGGGAAGAGCCCAAACCAACAAGCUUGCUUGUUGGGGUUGUAGGACACUCUAUACGGAGUUACAAAGGACGACAUUAGACGAAUCAUCUGGAAAGAUGAAUCAAAGAAGGUAAUAAUCCUGUAGUCGAAAAUGUUGUCUCUCUUGAGUGGAUCCUGAGUACGACGGAGCACGUGAAAUUCCGUCGGAAUCUGGGAGGACCAUCUCCUAAGGCUAAAUACUCUCUAGUGACCGAUAGUGAACCAGUACCGUGAGGGAAAGGUGAAAAGCACCCCGGAAGGGGAGUGAAAUAGAACCUGAAACCGUGUGCUUACAAGUAGUCAGAGCCCGUUAAUGGGUGAUGGCGUGCCUUUUGUAGAAUGAACCGGCGAGUUACGAUUUGAUGCAAGGUUAAGCAGUAAAUGUGGAGCCGUAGCGAAAGCGAGUCUGAAUAGGGCGUUUAGUAUUUGGUCGUAGACCCGAAACCAGGUGAUCUACCCUUGGUCAGGUUGAAGUUCAGGUAACACUGAAUGGAGGACCGAACCGACUUACGUUGAAAAGUGAGCGGAUGAACUGAGGGUAGCGGAGAAAUUCCAAUCGAACCUGGAGAUAGCUGGUUCUCUCCGAAAUAGCUUUAGGGCUAGCCUCAAGUGAUGAUUAUUGGAGGUAGAGCACUGUUUGGACGAGGGGCCCCUCUCGGGUUACCGAAUUCAGACAAACUCCGAAUGCCAAUUAAUUUAACUUGGGAGUCAGAACAUGGGUGAUAAGGUCCGUGUUCGAAAGGGAAACAGCCCAGACCACCAGCUAAGGUCCCAAAAUAUAUGUUAAGUGGAAAAGGAUGUGGCGUUGCCCAGACAACUAGGAUGUUGGCUUAGAAGCAGCCAUCAUUUAAAGAGUGCGUAAUAGCUCACUAGUCGAGUGACACUGCGCCGAAAAUGUACCGGGGCUAAACAUAUUACCGAAGCUGUGGAUUGUCCUUUGGACAAUGGUAGGAGAGCGUUCUAAGGGCGUUGAAGCAUGAUCGUAAGGACAUGUGGAGCGCUUAGAAGUGAGAAUGCCGGUGUGAGUAGCGAAAGACGGGUGAGAAUCCCGUCCACCGAUUGACUAAGGUUUCCAGAGGAAGGCUCGUCCGCUCUGGGUUAGUCGGGUCCUAAGCUGAGGCCGACAGGCGUAGGCGAUGGAUAACAGGUUGAUAUUCCUGUACCACCUAUAAUCGUUUUAAUCGAUGGGGGGACGCAGUAGGAUAGGCGAAGCGUGCGAUUGGAUUGCACGUCUAAGCAGUAAGGCUGAGUAUUAGGCAAAUCCGGUACUCGUUAAGGCUGAGCUGUGAUGGGGAGAAGACAUUGUGUCUUCGAGUCGUUGAUUUCACACUGCCGAGAAAAGCCUCUAGAUAGAAAAUAGGUGCCCGUACCGCAAACCGACACAGGUAGUCAAGAUGAGAAUUCUAAGGUGAGCGAGCGAACUCUCGUUAAGGAACUCGGCAAAAUGACCCCGUAACUUCGGGAGAAGGGGUGCUCUUUAGGGUUAACGCCCAGAAGAGCCGCAGUGAAUAGGCCCAAGCGACUGUUUAUCAAAAACACAGGUCUCUGCUAAACCGUAAGGUGAUGUAUAGGGGCUGACGCCUGCCCGGUGCUGGAAGGUUAAGAGGAGUGGUUAGCUUCUGCGAAGCUACGAAUCGAAGCCCCAGUAAACGGCGGCCGUAACUAUAACGGUCCUAAGGUAGCGAAAUUCCUUGUCGGGUAAGUUCCGACCCGCACGAAAGGCGUAACGAUUUGGGCACUGUCUCAACGAGAGACUCGGUGAAAUCAUAGUACCUGUGAAGAUGCAGGUUACCCGCGACAGGACGGAAAGACCCCGUGGAGCUUUACUGUAGCCUGAUAUUGAAAUUCGGCACAGCUUGUACAGGAUAGGUAGGAGCCUUUGAAACGUGAGCGCUAGCUUACGUGGAGGCGCUGGUGGGAUACUACCCUAGCUGUGUUGGCUUUCUAACCCGCACCACUUAUCGUGGUGGGAGACAGUGUCAGGCGGGCAGUUUGACUGGGGCGGUCGCCUCCUAAAAGGUAACGGAGGCGCUCAAAGGUUCCCUCAGAAUGGUUGGAAAUCAUUCAUAGAGUGUAAAGGCAUAAGGGAGCUUGACUGCGAGACCUACAAGUCGAGCAGGGUCGAAAGACGGACUUAGUGAUCCGGUGGUUCCGCAUGGAAGGGCCAUCGCUCAACGGAUAAAAGCUACCCCGGGGAUAACAGGCUUAUCUCCCCCAAGAGUUCACAUCGACGGGGAGGUUUGGCACCUCGAUGUCGGCUCAUCGCAUCCUGGGGCUGUAGUCGGUCCCAAGGGUUGGGCUGUUCGCCCAUUAAAGCGGUACGCGAGCUGGGUUCAGAACGUCGUGAGACAGUUCGGUCCCUAUCCGUCGUGGGCGUAGGAAAUUUGAGAGGAGCUGUCCUUAGUACGAGAGGACCGGGAUGGACAUACCUCUGGUGUACCAGUUGUCGUGCCAACGGCAUAGCUGGGUAGCUAUGUGUGGACGGGAUAAGUGCUGAAAGCAUCUAAGCAUGAAGCCCCCCUCAAGAUGAGAUUUCCCAACUUCGGUUAUAAGAUCCCUCAAAGAUGAUGAGGUUAAUAGGUUCGAGGUGGAAGCAUGGUGACAUGUGGAGCUGACGAAUACUAAUCGAUCGAAGACUUAAUCAA